ensembl:lncRNA
UUUUUUGUUUUUUUUUUGUUUUUUUCCUCUCUUCACCUUCACCCCCCCCCCAUCACGCUCGAAAUUUUUAGCAAGUCGUUUUUCGAAAAAAAAAAAAAAAAAAAAAAAAGCCGCUGAGCGAAAACGUCGACAGCUAAGUUGACCGAGUCUCCGCCGGUGUGCUGCAUGAGAUCCAGCUGACUGGUGAUGUAGCAUCAGGUUCACUGGCUGAAGUGGAUCAAUAGUGAAGAAAGGCUGCGCCUCGUUGGCAUGUAAUCAUCUUGUUGGCUGCCUUGACACCGAUCCUCCAUUCUGACCCAAUGAAGUGUGCGAGACAGACAUCAGGGGCACCACACUGGAUCCUUGGCUUUCAGCUCUGUCUGUUCGGAGGAUGCACGACUGAGAGAUGGAGCUGAAGGAACGAGAUGUGUAGAUCGUGUCUG